GAUGAACGCUGGCGGCGUGCCUAAUACAUGCCAGUCGAGCGAACAGACGAGGAGCUUGCUCCUCUGACGUUAGCCGCGGACGGGUGAGUAACACGUGGAUAACCUACCUAUAAGCCUGGGAUAACUUCGGGAAACCGGAGCUAAUACCGGAUAAUAUAUUGAACCGUAUGGUUCAAUAGUGAAAGACGGUUUUGCUGUCACUUAUAGAUGGAUCCGCGCCGCAUUAGCUAGUUGGCAAGGUAACGGCCUACCAAGGCAACGAUGCGCAGCCGACCGGGGAGAGUGAUCGGCCACACGGGAACUGAGACGCGGACCUGGCGCCUAAGGGAGGCAGCAGUAUGGAAUCGGCCGCAGUGGGCGAGAGCCUUACGGAGCGAGGGCGCGUGAGUGAUGAAGGUCUUCGGUGCGGGAAACUGUGCUAUGAGUUAAGAACAAAUGUGGAAGGAACUGUACACGACGUGACGGUACCUAGUCAGAAAGCCACGGCUAACUACGUG
rnacentral:rRNA from 1 species